rnacentral:lncRNA from 1 species
GCUCGAGGAUUCCACGAUUCGUCACCAGAGUCUAAUCUCGACCUUCCUACUUUACCGGAUCUCUUCUUUGUACUGUCUUUACCGUCCCUCUCGUCAUCAGAUGCAUCCAGCGACGGAUAAACUAAUCAAAACCAUGAAAACGAUACCUUUACGUCAUCGUAGUCAUCCGUCAAAGAUGAAUUCAACCUUCUUCUGCCUUUGCGUUGCCGCUGGGAUGCCGAAGGAUGGGGUGGUGGAUUUGAAUUUAAAAAUCCAUUCUGUUGGUGAAACAGAAGUUUUAAGACAACAACUUCAUAGCCACGGGAAUAAAUAAUAUUACCUGGUCUGAUGUCGGAGAACUAAAUCCUCGGCUCAUCGUUAACAUGCCGACGAUGGCUUCCCUAGUCGAAGGUGAAGCUCUGCCACGAUCUCUACAAACCAAAUAGCGAAAUUAAGCCGUGCGCUUUACAAAAAUAAUAAAAAAGGAAACAUACUCUAGUUCAUCUAAAGCUCCAGGAAACGGAACAUCUGUUCGCCCACCAACUGCAUAAAAACAUGUUUAAAAUAUCAGCACUUGGACGAGAAUGAAUGACAGCAUAAGGUAGUGAAGAGACACGGAGUGUUGGCGGUAGAAAAGGUAUUGUUCGAGGUUCAUCCGUUCUCUCAACUUUUAUAGACAGAAGAUCCUAGGCGAACACAACCAUGUUACAGAUAAAAGAUAUCCAGAACAUCUACUUAAAGUCAUCUUACUUCUUCGGCUGCAAAGUUACUAAGCGCUUCGUUAAUGUCAACGAAAUCAGGCCGAGUCUGUGGUUUACGGCGCACUCGUUUCGGUGAAUUUUUUUCGACUUUGGCAUUAGGUACGUUAGGCAGUGAAGUCGCCAGUGAAAACGGUGAGAGGGAUGAAUUGGAAUUCUUCUCAACAUGACGAAGCUCUCGACUCAAUUCUUUUAGUAAUUUUGAUACGAUAAUAUGUUCGGGAAUCGGUUCAUUUUUUCCUUUUCCGUUCUGCUUUAUAGGAGGAGAAACAAAAAAGAUAAUGUAUAACGAUUUUGAAUACUUUUAACGCUUUUAUACGCACAUCUUUUUCUAGUGUCCAAUUCCUAAGGGCGGUAGCUAACGCUCUCACCCCACGUAUUAACUGUUCUGGACAGCGUGAGCCCUUUCUACUCAUAUCCCUUAAAUCUUCAACUAAUCUCUCCGCUGCAAACCAGUGUAUCGUUUGAAACAUAGGAAAGCGGAAUCGGAUUGGUGCCUUAGAAGCUACUUCGAUGUUGUAAACCCUGCACAAACAUCAUCCUCAUUAAACGAAGUGGAAUUUAAAAUUGAAGUAAUAGCUUACUUUAACUGUAAUUCCAUAUUUAAAUUGUGCAAGAAGUUGCCACCAAACACAAGCGAGUCUUUUGGUGUGUAUACGGCGUGAAUCCAUCCAGUUGGAAUGAACAAGGUGUUGCCUUGAUGCAAAACAAAUCGGUGACAGGAACUAACCUAAACACAACUUGACAGUUCAGAGAUACAGAAACGCUAUGAUUACAACCACAGCUACUAUCAAGCACUUACCAUAUCUCCAAAGAAUAUUUCAUGAUGGUUUGGUUUGGACAACCACUGCAAGUAGAAAUCCAAAUUUUCUUCAGUAGGUGCGACCAAAUAGAAUACCUUUUCUCCCUGACGAUUCAUUUCACAAGAAAAAAAUUGGUAAAAAAACCGUUUGUUUUUCUCUAACGAAAACUAACUUACCUUUAAGACGUGAUACCAAACGGAUGAGCCUCCAAAGUCGAUGUGGAAAUCGGUAUAGGAAUCUUUUACUCCCAUAAGGCAAUAUUUUUGUACCUCUGGUCGUUCAAGGGCAUAAUCGCGGGGCCAAACGUUGUUUGCCCAGCAUAACUUGCGGGCAAUGUAGGGAGGCUCGACCAAGGCACUUAAACUUUAAAUUUUAAGUUUAGUUAUGCUUAAUUCGUACAAAAACCUGUAAUAAAACUUACUUAGAGUCAGAAAACUCAAGGCUUAUCACAUUUAAGACCUGUGAUCUUAAUGGAUUUGUAUAGUAUUCUACAAAGUCUUUAAGGGCCAUUCUUAUGUCUGAUUGCUUUGUUACAUCAAUAACAUCAAUUAUUCUAUCAGAACCUGUAUUCAUGAAGCAUUAGUGAAUAAAAAGACAUGAAUGUU